GACGAACGCUGGCGGCGUGCUUAACACAUGCAAGUCGAACGGUGAAGCGCCUUCUUUUUUGGUGGGUGUGGUUGAGUGGCGAACGGGUGAGUAACACGUGCGUAACCUGCCCCCUUCUUCUGGAUAACCGCAUGAAAGUGUGGACAAUACGGGAUAUUCUGGUUCUUUCGCAUGAUGGGUAUGGGUCAGAGAUUGUUGAGGUGGGGGAGGUGCUUGAGGUCUAUCAGGGUGUUGGGGGGGUGAUGGGCUACCACGGCUGUGACGGGUCGCCGGCCUGAGAGGGUGGCCGGUCACACUGGGUGUGAGACACGACUCAGACUGCUACGAGGGGCAGCAUUCGGCAGUAGUGCACAAUGGGCGCAAUUCUGAUGCAGCGGCGACGCGUGAGGGGUGGCGGCGCUCGGGUUGUGAACCUCUUUCGCCAGUGAAGCAGUCCUGCCUCGUUUGUGGGUUGGUUGACGGUAGCUGGAUAAGAAGCACCGGCUAACUACGUG
rnacentral:rRNA from 1 species